rnacentral:rRNA from 2 species
CCUGACGGAGCAACGCCGCGUGCGGGAGGAAGGCCUGUGGGUUGUAAACCGCUUUUCUCAGGGAAGAAGUACUGACGGUACCUGAGGAAUCAGCAUCGGCUAACUCCGUGCCAGCAGCCGCGGUAAUACGGAGGAUGCAAGCGUUAUCCGGAAUUAUUGGGCGUAAAGCGUCCGCAGGCGGCUGUUCAAGUCUGCUGUCAAAGCCUGGGGCUUAACCUCGGAUAGGCAGUGGAAACUGAGUAGCUAGAGUGCGGUAGGGGUAGAGGGAAUUCCCAGUGUAGCGGUGAAAUGCGUAGAUAUUGGGAAGAACACCAGUGGCGAAGGCGCUCUACUGGACCGCAACUGACGCUGAGGGACGAAAGCUAGGGGAGC